AACGAACGCUGGCGGCAGGCUUAACACAUGCAAGUCGAGCGCCCCGCAAGGGGAGCGGCAGACGGGUGAGUAACGCGUGGGAACGUACCCUUUACUACGGAAUAGCUCCGGGAAACUGGAAUUAAUACCGUAUGUGCCCUUCGGGGGAAAGAUUUAUCGGUAAAGGAUCGGCCCGCGUUGGAUUAGCUAGUUGGUGGGGUAAAGGCCUACCAAGGCGACGAUCCAUAGCUGGUCUGAGAGGAUGAUCAGCCACAUUGGGACUGAGACACGGCCCAAACUCCUACGGGAGGCAGCAGUGGGGAAUAUUGGACAAUGGGCGCAAGCCUGAUCCAGCCAUGCCGCGUGAGUGAUGAAGGCCUUAGGGUUGUAAAGCUCUUUCACCGAUGAAGAUAAUGACGGUAGUCGGAGAAGAAGCCCCGGCUAACUUCGUGCCAGCAGCCGCCGCCGUAA
rnacentral:rRNA from 1 species